AGAGCCGAGAGGAAAGAAGGAUAAAGAGAGGGCAGAAAACACAGGAUGAAGUGACGUACUCUACUGUCGUCCACAGCAACACAACCACAACAACACCCACAGUUAUUGGUAUUGAAGAAAAGGCAGAAUACGCCACCAUCAGAGUGAACUAGGAACACCACUCACCCUGUCCAUAAAAAUGCAUUGUGUUUUGCUUCUUGCUUUUUCCUUGUCUUAAUUUUGCCUUUUUAAAUUCACAAAUACAUCAAUAUUUUCAUAAAUAAAGCUUCAGCUAAACAUUCA